ACAAGUACCGUGAGGGAAAGUUGAAAAGCACUUUGAAAAGAGAGUGCAAGAGAACGUGUAACCGUUAUAGUGGAAGCGGAUGGAGCCGACGUAUCCAGUGCGUAUUCAAUCCAAGUUGGCUGUGAUGCAGUUGUGUGGAGUUCUGCAAAGUCUCUCAUGAUCGUUAUUGCAAUUAAUUUGGAUGCAUUUACGCACAGAGUGCGCCGAAUCGGCUGGUUGUGCUGUUUGAAGGUUGCGAAGAGGACUAAACUUGUUUAGAAACCUGAGCGAUUGGACGACAGAUGCGGCUAGUCGUUGUUGGGGAUUGGUGAAUUCGUGGCAGUCUGUUCGAGUUUGGGCGGCAUUGAUGCGAUGCAUGCAUUUCGUCUUUAUCGUCUACAUUCCAGCGGGCUGCUGAUCGAUCCCACAUUCGGUGUCUAGUCGGUCACCCAUUUGACCCGUCUUGAAACACGGACCAAGGAGUUUAAGGUGUGCGCAAGUCAUUGGGCGUGAAACCCAAAGGCGUAAUGAAAGUGGGACACUUGGUGUCUGUGAUGCGAUUUGUGGGUGUUUCGACGCCCGUGAAGCAGCAUCGACCCAUGACUAGGACUUGUUCUGUUGUGGAGUCUGAGCGUACGCUUUGAGACCCGAAAGAUGGUGAACUAUGCCUGAACAGGACGAAGUCAGAGGAAACUCUGAUGGAAGUCCGAAGCGGUUCUGACGUGCAAAUCGAUCGUCUGAUUUGGGUAUAGGGGCGCAAGACUAAUCGAACCAUCUAGUAGCUGGUUCCUUCCGA
rnacentral:rRNA from 1 species